GCAAGUCGUGCGAGAAAGUAUCUUCGGAGCGAGUAGAGUGGCGAACGGGUGAGUAACGCGUGGGAAUCUGCCUAAUAGUGGGGGACAACCAGUGGAAACGCUGGCUAAUACCGCAUACGCCCUACGGGGCAAAGACUUCGGUCGCUAUUAGAUGAGCCCGCGUCGGAUUAGCUUGUUGGUAGGGUAAAAGCCUACCAAGGCGACGAUCUGUAGCUGGUCUGAGAGGAUGAUC
rnacentral:rRNA from 1 species